rnacentral:rRNA from 1 species
UACGAAGGACCCAAGCGUUAUUCGGAUUUAUUGGGUUUAAAGGGUGCGUAGGCGGGAUAGUAAGUCAGAGGUGAAAUCCUACAGCUUAACUGUAGAACUGCCUUUGAUACUGCUAACCUUGAGUACAGAUGAUGUGGGCGGAAUAUGACAUGUAGCGGUGAAAUGCUUAGAUAUGUCAUAGAACACCGAUUGCGAAGGCAGCUCACAAAACUGUAACUGACGCUGAGGCACGAAAGCAUGGGGAUCGAACAGG